rnacentral:rRNA from 1 species
GACGAACGCUGGCGGCGUGCUUAAUACAUGCAAGUCGAACGGAAAGGCCCUGCUUUUGUGGGGUGCUCGAGUGGCGAACGGGUGAGUAACACGUGAGUAACCUGCCCUUGACUUUGGGAUAACUUCAGGAAACUGGGGCUAAUACCGGAUAGGAGCUCCUGCUGCAUGGUGGGGGUUGGAAAGUUUCGGCGGUUGGGGAUGGACUCGCGGCUUAUCAGCUUGUUGGUGGGGUAGUGGCUUACCAAGGCUUUGACGGGUAGCCGGCCUGAGAGGGUGACCGGCAGUAGUGGGAGGGAGAUAAGGGCGAGAGGCCGACGGGAGGCAGAAGGCGGGAGGCGGGCAGAAGGGGGGGGAGUUGGAUGCAGCAACCGCGGGGGCGGGAGGACGGGCUGCGGGUUGGAAACCGGUUUCGACGGGGACGAAGCGGCAGUGACGGUAAGGAGUAAAGAAGAACGGGCUAACUACGGG